AUAUCAGUAAGCGGAGGAAGGGAAACUAACUAGGACGCCCUCAGUAACGGCGAGUGAAGCGGGGCGAGCCCAUAUUUGAAAUCGCGCAAGCGAAUUGUAGUGAUGGUUGUACGCUUAUUGUGUUGUGGUCUGCCAAGUUCUCUUGGAAAAGGGCAUCAUAGAGGGUGACAAUCCCGUUGAUUGCAGGCCGCGGCGCGAGUAUAGGGUGCAGCCGACGAGUCGGGUUGUUUGGGAAUGCAGCCCAAAGUGGGUGGUAAACUCCAUCUGAGGCUAAGUAUGGUAACGAGACCGAUAGCGCACAAGUA
rnacentral:rRNA from 1 species